UACGUAGGGGUGCGAGCGUUGUCCGGAAUUACUGGGCGUAAAGAGUUCGUAGGCGGUUUGUCGCGUCGUCUGUGAAAAACCCAUCGCUCAACGAUGGGGCCGGCAGGCGAUACGGGCAGACUUGAGUACUGCAGGGGAGACUGGAAUUCCUGGCGUAGCGGUGAAAUGCGCAGAUAUCAGGAGGAACACCGGUGGCGAAGGCGGGGUCUCUGGGCAGUAACUGACGCUGAGGAACGAAAGCGUGGGUAGCAAACAGG
rnacentral:rRNA from 1 species